UACGAAGGACCCGAGCGUUAUCCGGAUUUAUUGGUUUAAAGGGUGCGUAGGCGGACACGCAAGUCAGUGGUGAAAUCUCCCAGCUUAACUGGGAAACUGCCAUUGAAACUAUGUGUCUUGAGUACAUUUGAGGCGGGCGGAAUGUGUCAUGUAGAGGUGAAAUUCUUAGAUAUGACACAGAACACCAAUUGCGAAGGCAGCUCGCUAAACUGUAACUGACGCUGAGGCACGAAAGCGUGGGGAUCAAACAGG
rnacentral:rRNA from 1 species